rnacentral:rRNA from 1 species
GAUGAACGCUGGCGGCGUGCCUAAUACAUGCAAGUCGAGCGAACGGACGAGAAGCUUGCUUCUCUGAUGUUAGCGGCGGACGGGUGAGUAACACGUGGAUAACCUACCUAUAAGACUGGGAUAACUUCGGGACACCGUAGCUAAUACCGGAUAAUAUUUUGAACCGCAUGGUUCAAAAGUGAAAGACGGUCUUGCUGUCACUUAUAGAUGGAUCCGCGCUGCAUUAGCUAGUUGGUAAGGUAACGGCUUACGAAGGCAACGAUGCAUAGCCGACCUGAGAGGGUGAUCGGCCACACUGGAACUGAGACACGGUCCAGACUCCUACGGGAGGCAGCAGUAGGGAAUCUUCCGCAAUGGGCGAAAGCCUGACGGAGCAACGCCGCGUGAGUGAUGAAGGUCUUCGGAUCGUAAAACUCUGUUAUUAGGGAAGAACAUAUGUGUAAGUAACUGUGCACAUCUUGACGGUACCUAAUCAGAAAGCCACGGCUAACUACGUG